ensembl:lincRNA
UAUAACGUGAAAUUGGUAAAUUAAAGGUUAUCUCAAUUCUGAAUUAUAAAAAAAAAGACGGCCGGGCAUGAUGGCUCACGCCUGUAAUCCCAGCACUUUGGGAGGCCGAGGUGGGUGGAUCAUGAGGUCAGGAGAUCGAGAAUAUCCUGGCCAACAUGGUGAAACUCUGUCUCUACUAAAAAUCCAAAAAUUAGCUGGGUGUGGUGGUGCAUGACUAUGGUCCCAGCUACUCAGGAGGCUGAGGCAGGAGAAUCACUUGAACCCGGGAGGUGGAGGUUGCAGUGAGCUGAGAUCGCGCCACUGCACUCCAGCCUGGUGACAGAAUGAGACUCCGUCUACAAAAAAAAAAAAAAAAAGAAAAGAAAAGGGAAGAAAGAAAAAUGACAAAGACAGUAUUUAAGUACAAUGUGUGCUAAUAUUAUCUUAGUUUUGUCCUUAGAAACAGCACAUGCCUGGGGAAGUUAUGGAGGUUAUGCAAUCAGCAAACUUAGAAACGUGUUGCUUAACUUCAAAAUUGCGUGGUGGGAAACGUUUCUUGGAGGCCUGAUUUUUUCUAACCAGUUUAUACAAAUGACAACUGCGGUCCCAUCCACUCCAAUCUGUGGAUUUGGUGAACAUGAACAUCUAUCCUUUAAGCAUGACAUGAAUUUUGUUAAAUAUGGAAUGUUUUCCAGAGCUCACUCACCAACGGUAAUAUGAUGUUCAGUAUUGUGAUGUCGACUGCAUGGAACGUCAGAUGGACUUCAUAUAUGAUGAGGACAAAUUUGAUGGUCUGCCUGAGUACAUUAAGG